GAAAUCACUCCUAUUGACCCCCUGGCAUAUUUAUAGCCUCUCUCUUUCUGCUGAGACUGGUAGUUUUCACCUUCCCUUCCCUGUGUUGUGUUUAUUCAGCAGCACGCUAAAUCACACCCGGGCACAAGUGGAGCAUUCAUCAGGAACCACGAGCCCCUCUUUCAGUCUGCCAAACCUAUCCAAUUACUGGGGCUGGAAGAGCCUGCACAAACCCUUCUGCCAGAUGAACCUUCUUGCUGUGAUUCAUAAACAUGGCUGUACCUCUAAAUAGACUGGGACUUCCUUUUGGUACUAUGAUCAUCCCUAAUUAUUUCGUCCACUUCAACUCUCCCCAGCUCUGAACGUUCCUUAAUUCCUGGAUGUGACUUCCAAUUAAUUUUGACCCAGGCAGUAUAUUCUACAAUGCUUGACUUCAGGGCUACACUUUCCAGAAAGACCUCAAAUCAGACUUUCAGCUAACUCCCUUGUGGAGAAGGUGAGACAAUGAGAAACAUCUCCAUGCCAGGAGUGCGCAAGAGCUGUCUGCAAAAAGAUGUCUGUG
ensembl:lncRNA novel transcript